rnacentral:rRNA from 1 species
AUUGAACGCCGGCGGCAGGCCUAACACAUGCAAGUCGAACGGUAGCACAGAGAGCUUGCUCUCGGGUGACGAGUGGCGGACGGGUGAGUAAUGUCUGGGAAACUGCCCGAUGGAGGGGGAUAACUACUGGAAACGGUAGCUAAUACCGCAUAACGUCGCAAGACCAAAGUGGGGGACCUUCGGGCCUCACACCAUCGGAUGUGCCCAGAUGGGAUUAGCUAGUAGGUGGGGUAAUGGCUCACCUAGGCGACGACCCCUAGCUGGUCUGAGAGGAUGACCAGCCACACUGGAACUGAGACACGGUCCAGACUCCUACGGGAGGCAGCAGUGGGGAAUAUUGCACAAUGGGCGCAAGCCUGAUGCAGCCAUGCCGCGUGUAUGAAGAAGGCCUUCGGGUUGUAAAGUACUUUCAGCGGGGAGGAAGGCGGUGAAGUUAAUAACUUCACCGAUUGACGUUACCCGCAGAAGAAGCACCGGCUAACUCCGUGCCAGCAGCCGCCGCAG